rnacentral:rRNA from 1 species
CCCGCUGAACUUAAGCAUAUCAAUAAGCGGAGGAAAAGAAACUAACAAGGAUUCCCCCAGUAACGGCGAGUGAAGUGGGAAGAGCUCAAAUUUAAAAUCUUGGUGCUUCUGGUGCUGAGAAUUGUAAGCUAUAGAAGCGUUUUCGGUUGGCGCCUGGAUAUAAGUCCCUUGGAACGGGGCAUCAUAGAGGGUGAGAAUCCCGUCUUUGAUCCAGAUGCAGCCUACUAUGUGAUACGUCUUCAAAGAGUCGGUUUGUUUGGGAAUGCAGACCAAAAUGGGUGGUAAAUUCCAUCUAAAGCUAAAUAUAGGCGAGAGACCGAUAGCGAACAAGUACCGUGAGGGAAAGAUGAAAAGAACUUUGAAAAGAGAGUUAAACAGUACGUGAAAUUGUUGAAAGGGAAACGUUUGGAAUCAGUCUUGCCUGCGAGAAAUCAACCUGACUUUCAGCCGGGUGUACUUUUUCGUGAGCAGGUCAGCGUCGGUUUUGGUUGUCAGAAAAUGGUUUGUGGGAAAGUGGCUCCUCGGAGUGUUAUAGCCCAUGAUCAAUAUGAUGACCGGGACCGAGGAAUGCAGCCAGCUGGUUUAUCCGGCAGGGGACGCAGAGUGCUGGCUGGCGUCUUAUCGCGGAAAGCUUGCUGAUCGCGAUGGGAUGGUCAAUCACACAUUUUGAUGUCUCUCUUCCUGGCUUAGGUCGCUGACUUAAUGAUUCCAAAUGACCCGUCUUGAAACACGG